CACAGGCUGAAGUCAACCGUAUGAAAGGCAGUGUCAGUGACAGGGUCUGUUACAUGAGCAGACUGCCAGUGAGCUCGGUGCCAACUUCUCCUAGCUCUGGGGACGUGGUGAGCAGCCCUUUAUCUCCGGGAAACAGACGCGUCCGAUCACCUCCUCCGGGGGCUGGUGUGGACAGGGGAGGAGACCAGCAGGUCUGUCAGUCACAGUGAAAACCGGGGACAUUUCCGGGGACAGCUCCAACCAGACAAAUCUUGCCUAACCCAGGGUGGCUGUGGCUCAGGUGGUAGAGUGGUUGCCUACCAAUUGGAAGGUUGGUGUUCCGAUCCCUGGUCCUGCAGUUCCAUGUCAAAGUGUCCUUGGGCAAGACACUGAACCCUGAAUUGCUCCCGAUAUGUGAAUGUUUAUCUGAUAAGCAGGUGGCACCUUGUAUGGCAGCCUCGGCCACCGUAUGUGAAUGUGCGUGAAAGGUAAAUUGCUCCUGUACUAUGUUAAAGCGCUCUGAGUAGUGCAAAGCGCUAUAUAAAUACAAUACAUUUACAUCCUGUGUCCAGAAAUUAAACCUAAAAAAAAUUACAUAUUCAUAGAUUCUGGAUUUUUCAACGAGGGCAAAGAAGUAUUUAUAAACUAGCUAUUUGAACUUUUUUGUCG